rfam:Chlorocebus sabaeus isolate 1994-021 chromosome 20 unlocalized genomic scaffold Scaffold143, whole genome shotgun sequence.
GGUUCCAUGGGGUAAUGGUGAGCACUCUGGACUCUGAAUUAAGUAAAUCCGAGUUCAAAUCUCGGUGGGACCU